CCUACGGGAGGCAGCAGUGGGGAAUCUUAGACAAUGGGCGCAAGCCUGAUCUAGCCAUGCCGCGUGAGUGACGAAGGCCUUAGGGUCGUAAAGCUCUUUCGCCAGGGAUGAUAAUGACAGUACCUGGUAAAGAAACCCCGGCUAACUCCGUGCCAGCAGCCGCGGUAAUACGGAGGGGGUUAGCGUUGUUCGGAAUUACUGGGCGUAAAGCGCGCGUAGGCGGAUUAUUAAGUUAGGGGUGAAAUCCCGGGGCUCAACCCCGGAACUGCCUCUAAUACUGGUAGUCUUGAGUUCGAGAGAGGUGAGUGGAAUUCCGAGUGUAGAGGUGAAAUUCGUAGAUAUUCGGAGGAACACCAGUGGCGAAGGCGGCUCACUGGCUCGAUACUGACGCUGAGGUGCGAAAGUGUGGGGAGCAAACAGGAUUAGAUACCCUGGUAGUCCACACCGUAAACGAUGAAUGCCAGACGUCGGCAAGCAUGCUUGUCGGUGUCACACCUAACGGAUUAAGCAUUCCGCCUGGGGAGUACGGUCGCAAGAUUAAAACUCAAAUGAAUUGACGG
rnacentral:rRNA from 1 species